UCUAAAUCAAUUCGUACCGAUUUACAAAAUAUCUUCCUAAAAUAUCUAUUUCACCAUCCAUAUCCUCACACUCGACCUUAUCUCUCCCUCUGUCAUGUUCACUCACUUUCCUUCUCAUCCAUUUACGUCCCUUUCUUCCAAUCUUUCCCACAGCUAGCUAGAUAUUUUUCCAUUCCCCUGCAUACUUAUAGCACCAUCAGACAAGGCACAAAACAAAAAACACUCAAUUCCUUUCCUACUUUACGUAGCCUGCGCUCUCUUCAUCACCCUGAGCAGCACAAAAUCUCAUCAUCAUUUUCUUUCCUCAUGACCUACACCACCAUUCUUCUUCCUCUUCCUUAGUUGCAUGAUUGCAGCACCCACACUCACCACAUGAGCCACCACCUUCACGUUUUCUUCCUCUCAAUGGCAGCACCUCACCAUCACCACCGCCCCUCCUCCUCACCAUGGCUGUUAUGUCCAGCCAAGAGGCCACCACAAUCACGUUCCUCUUCUUUCUCUCCUUGGCCACCACGAGGAGGCCAGCACCACAAGGAACACGUACAGCCCCAUUCAUCAUAUGGUAUUGUUCAAGCUUCAUCAUCCAUAUCAUGACAAGGAGACACCAUCACCAUGCCACUUUACUUCCUCAUGUGGGUACGAAGGACGAAAGCGCCUCGCGGCGAAGCUAAAGAAUAGAAGGAAGCGAGCCGACACGGGAAAACGAGGAUGUGAUUGGAUUGGAGUUGCAGUUUAGGCAGGAAAUUGGCUAAGGCGAUGGAGAAUCUUCGAAGGAGCUUAACCUUUGUGCAAGUAGAGAUGAGGACUUGAAGGACAGUGGAGUACUUGACGAGUAGAGUCUGGUUUAAGGCUAGAGCCUUGGGUUAGAGAGCUUACCAUAUUUGGUUUAAGCCUGCAUAAUGAUUUUAGAAAUUUAUAUUUGGGGUUUUGGGUACUCGCCUUGUUCAAGGCGUGUUGUAGAUUCUAUUUACUGUUGGGAGUAGGCAUUACAUGUUUUGGAAAUACAUUUGAAAAGAAAAAAAUAUAUACUCGUGUUUAUACUUCCUUUUGGAAAACAUUGCAUAUUUACUUUAAUAGGUUACUAAAGUGACCCCUGAAAUUCGGGGCGUUACAAUCUCCUUGACGGAGACCUUUAUAGGGACGAAAGGAGUCUGUCCGAUCACCAUUAAAACAAACUCUAUAACUGCAAGAGGAAACACAAUGCAUAAUAAGAGAGCACAAAUGAUCGUUUAAACCAAUCAACCGGAGAGUGUCAUGAAGAAAGGACCAACUCAAUCUAUCGUACGCUUUCUCCAAGUCCACUUUCAUAGCCAUCCAUCCCUUGGCUCUUCUAAGGUUUUUCAUAGAAUAAAACACCUCUUGAGCUAUAAUGAUGUUGUCUGAGCUAUGCCUCCCAGGAACAAAACUGCAUUGGUUAGGUGAAACCAAGUCUCCCAUAACAACUCUCAAUCUGUUAGUGAUAGCUUUGGUAACAGUUUUAUAAAUAACAUUACACAAAGAGAUGGGCCUAUAUUGAGAAAGUCUCUCCGGACUCUCAAUCUUAGGCACAAGCACAAUCAAAGUCUCAUUUACCUGGCUAAUCAGAGAAGGCUCCGCAAAGCACUUCAGGACAAAAUCCACGGUCGAGUCCCCCACAAUAUUCCAUUGAGAAUGGAAGAAAAUGGGCUGGAAGCCAUCUGGACCCGGGGCUUUUAGAGGACCCAUGCUAAAGACAACAUCUUAAAUCUCACUAGCACUAAGAUCAGCAUGGAUAAGAUCAAGAAACGCCUCGGACAAGGGGCUGAAGGUGGUGUGGCAUGCAAGCUAAGCAGUCCCUCCCUCAUCCAUGUAACUAUUCCUGUAAAAAGAAAGAGUAAGCUCCUUCAGAGCAUCAUAAUCAAUGAUUAGACUCCCAUCCUCUCCAACAAGCGCCUCUAUUUUAUUCCUCUUCCGACAAACAAGAGUAGCAGUGUGGAAGAAAGUGGUAUUAUGGUCGCCGAAUUGGAGCCAUAAGCAUCUAGACUUCUGCAUCCACAUGAGUUCCUCCUGAACCAACACAGUAUCAUAUUCCUUCCACAAUUUUCUUUGUAGGCGGUCAAGCCCCCUAUCAAAGGUCAUGCUCAGCCGAGCAUUGAUCCCCUCAAGUCUCCUCAUCAAGCGUCGUUUCCGCCUAAGAAUAUUUCCAAACACUUCAUGGUUCCAGGUGGUAAUAUCCUCCCUAAAACCUCCUGAAGAUGCCAGCCAUUCAUCACCUCUCUGCCAAGCGCUCUCCACUACCCUGGGGAAAUCAUCAUGGGUCAACCAACAAGCAAGGAAUCUGAAAGGUCGCACAAAAUCACGCUGCUCAAUCACCCCAGCAGCCGCCAUAAGGAUAGGCUUGUGGUCAGAUUUAAGCUGAGGAAGAGGGAUGAUGGUAGACUCAGGGAAGCAAUGGAGUCAACGAGUGUUACACACUCCCCUGUCAAGCCGCUCCUUAACCCCACGACCCUCCCAGGUAAAGGGGGGCCCUUUAUACCCCAUGUCAGAUAAACCACAAGCUGUAAGACAGGCCUGAAAACGCUGCAUACUUGGCACAUUAGGACCAUUCCCACCCGCCUUGUCAAUGGCUUCCAGAUAAGCAUUAAAGUCCCCCAGGGCAAGCCAAGGAACAUCAUGAUCGGGCAAAAGAGACGGGAGACUAUCCCACAUAACUGAUCUCGAGGAAGCUUGAGGGAUAUCAUAGACAAAGGUUACAAGAGCCUCCUGAGAAGUUCCUACAACACGAAUCCUGGUGUGCACAUACUGACGAUGAGAAGUUAUAAUCUGGAUAUCCAAGACCAACGUAUCCCAAAGCAGCCAAAUACCACCAGAGAAGCCCACAACCUCCUCUAUAUGCACACCCUGAAAAUCCAAUCCUCUAAUGAUCGACAACGCUCUGGCGCCACUAACUCUGGGCUCUAAGAUUGCAAGACAAGACAUAGAAUGUCUGUGAACAAGGUCCCUUAACAUAAGAGACACCCCUCUAGCUGCCGCACCUCUAAUAUUUUAGCUAACUAUAUUCAUAACAAACAUCAAAGAGAGGUGGACAAACGAACCAAACAACAUUAAGUUUCCCUGGAAGAGGCAACAUGAGAUAAACUCCUUUCCCUCUCCCUUCUGAACAUGUCAUUACACUUCCCACCCUUAGCCAUGGGGGAUUUUUUCUAGAAAUUAUCCUGGUGCAAGAUCCCUCAUAGAGUUACUGUAUGCUUAUCAUUGGGGGUUCCACCCUUUGCAUGCAUCCAUGUAUCCUUCCCACGUGCCAUAUUCUUCGUAGUGUGCACACUUCUACUCUCUCCCUUGUUAUGGUGUGUAACACCCCGAUUUCGGUGGCGUCACUUUAGUAACCAAAAAGAAAAUAAAGCGGAAAAACGUGAAUAUUUUUUUUGUUUUGUUUAAAUAAAUAAAAGACUUGUCGAAAUAAAGACUCAACAACGAAAGAUAAAUAUAACUAAUUUACAAAUAUAUUUACAGCCCCCGCUGUAAGUAGCAAGCCACGUCACGAGUAACCUCCAGUGACGGGAAAGUAACAGAAAGUAACGAAAGUAGUGCCCGUGGGCGAAUAUGUACAAACCAGAGUAAAAGGUCAAGUAUUCGGAAUACAGUCCUCCAAACGAAAGUAGGUCAGCCCAAAACGGCCUAAACAAGACCACCUAGUCCGACCAACUCUCUGUGAUUCCCAUAAAGAGAACCACACAAAAAGGUAAAGGUCGGGGACCUACCAGCCCCAAAAUGAGAAACUGACGACCAGAGCUGUAACACUACUCCUACCCUAAUCCUGCCCAGAGAAGCGCACCACAGCACUCCUCAAACUACAUGCUGGCGUGGUCGUCGCUUGAAUCAGAAUGCAGGGCGACUCGGUCACUGACUGCGUCCAUCUCCUCUCUCGCUACUGCCUGAGCCUCAAACCUCGGAACUCCCAUCACCGCAUCCACUACGCGGACGGACACGUCCUCCUCCAUCAGGUGCACCGAAGGCACAACAAGAUAACCACGGGGAGAAGUCGAUGCCGUCAAGCGAAAGGUGGCUACAACAACACGUUCCUCUGCUGGUCUCGCGGUUCCAGAACCCGAUCCCAUAUCAUCAGCGACAGCAACGGUGGGUGAGCUAGAUUCCGAUGAAGUCCCUCCCACAGGCUCCUCCUCCGAGGGGUCCUCGUCGUCAAAAGGCGACAAUGGUGGUGGUGCUACUACACCAGGUUUGCAGUGCACACCAGGUGGUAGGUUAAAGCUGACAGUGUAACGUCUCAGUACUCCCUGCGUCAAGUUUCCCAAACUGUAGACGCGGUCCUCCAUUAUUCUCCCCGAAUACAUAGCUCGGUGGCCGGAGGGGUCGACCACCCAAGAGCUGGGGGUGUCCUGAUCAAGCAUCUCAAAUCUAGUCCCCCCCGAAGGGUGGACCAUCUCGAACCAGUCCGCCAUGGACAUCUGACCAAAGGUGUAGUCCGCCCAAACACAAACAGAAAGCGCGAGGGUCAACUCAAUGAAUUAAAUAAAUAAUACACCCAGAAGAUAAAGUUUAUGGAAUAGCUACUUAGGCUUAGAGAUUUAUAAUAACAUUAUAAGUUGUAUAUUUUCCAAUUGAGUAAAGAUGACAAUUAACAAUUAUCAAGUAAGAUUAACAAGUAUCAAUCGCACUCGGCAACUAAACUAAGUCGGUAUGCAUGGGGCAUGAAUGAUAUGACGAGGAACAAGAUGCAAUCCGGAAGGAUGGGCACCAACGAGUCAAUCCUAGCACUGGCCAUAGUGGGACCAUUUCUGCUCGGGCGUCUCUUAUACCAAACAAAAUGUAGUCAGAUCAGCAGUAUACCCGCAGGCCUGCCAUUUCCGCCUGCUACUAAGAAUCACCGCAGUGUUUUUAUGUGGAAAUCCGGGUCUUAUGACCAUUUUGGAAUCCACCGAGGUCCGGCAUCCCACCGUGUAUAAACCCCAGAAAUGUGUGCUUGAAUGCAACGUGAUUAGCCAAACAAUGUCUCUGACCUCACUCGUCACGUCGUCACGUGUUCUAGCUAACUUAUUGUCUCUAAAACGAAUAUCCUAAGGUAAAUGUCGAUUCUGCGACAAAAGACAAUUAAUUAUAAAAAGAGUGCAAUCACUCGUGAUGACUUCUCGAGUCAUCCGACUCAUCUAAUUCUGAUGGUCAAAACUGCUCAGCGAGCAAAGAGUACCAAUGUACUUAGAACUUGUAGUCCCCCGGCUUAUCAUUUAGAUAGCCAAACAAAUAAACUCCUCAUCGAGCAAAAGAGUAUCAGCAUACUCGGAAACUUAUCAGUUUCCCGGCAUAUCUUUUAGAUAGUCAACCAACAAAACUGCUCAUCGAGCAAAAGAGUAUUAACAUACUCAGAAACUUAUUAGUUUCCCCAAAACUUGGAUUCGACGACACUUCUCAUUUUCCAAAACUAAUAUCCAAACCCUAAGCUUCCAUCUGAGGUUGUUAUCAUUAUUUAAAGGGUUCAGAGGUUGUUUAAUGUAUUAUGAGUUUUCCUUGUAAAAUAGUUUUCAUUUAGUUUUAUCUCUAAUCUUAUGAGUUUAAAAGAUCCCAACAUCCCAAGUAAUUCCCAGAGAAGGUCUCGAUCCACUAAAAUGAUAAUAAGGGCCCAAACCUCGGUUCGUCCCGUCAAACUCUCCCAAAAUCUCAUGAUGUGUAUGGCACAAUCGCCCGUGUUUCUCACUCUGACGUAUCACAGAUAUAUAUACAAUUGCAUACCCAAAUGGCACAAUCAAACAGUUAUGGUACAUGUAUCAACACAUCCUAGAUUAACCAUUUAGCACAAAGCAUGUGAAUCAGUUAACAAACAUUUAAAGCGAUAAAUAAUCAACAUGUCGGCUGAAGCCUCAGAAAACGGAGACACGCGUCUCAAUUAGUUCACUUGGCCGAAGCCUCUAGAAAACAUUUCCCAGUCAAUCACAAUCAAGUGCAUAAACAAUAAAUCAAGUCAAAUUCGUCGACACCUAAAGCAUUAGCUAGUAUUCAGUGAGUAGCCCUCAACUCUAGUUCCUCCAGCGCGUUCCUGAAGCGUUCCUUCACAAUCUUCUCCUUCCGCUCCACAGAAAUCCUCAAACGAACCUUAGAGCGAAGUCACAGAAUUAAAUCACAACAAGUAAGAAACUUAGCAAACAAUAAUUACUAACGUUAUACGAAGCAUUAUAAACUUUAGGGUACGAUAACCUAACGCGAUAAGACGAGUUUUCGAAAAGAGAAAUUUUCCUCCCCCCCUUAGGGAGCUCUAGGCCACAACACAUCAAAAUAUGUUCUGGCACUUUUUCUUCGAUCAAACUUGGUUCCUAGGUUAUCAUUAGUCGUAACUAAGGCGAAUUAAAGCUCGGAAAAAUUAUCGGAUCGAAAACUGAAGCAGGGGUAUUUUGAUCAGUGUUUUUAGCUCGGAAAUUCAAAAUUGGAAUUUCGAAAAACAAAUUGGAUGGGGACGUCACCAACGACGUUUAUGACAACUAAUCCUACUGGUACUAAGCUCAGUCGAGAGUUUUAAGUCAAAAGAGCGAAACUUUAGCCGAAAAAUGGGUAUUUGAGCAAAACCGCAACUCGGCGACGAUUCGGCGAGAAUCGGCGAAAUGUAAUCCGCUAGAAGUACUCUUGGGUUAGUAGAGAAUAUGUUUAGACACUAAAAUCAAGUUAUUUUGACAGUUUUACAAAAAGCUCGAAACUUUGAGCAUAGAAAGACAUAGAGAAAAACGACAGAAUUGACGAUCAGAAGUAUGCAAUAGCAUCUAUACCUCGAGGUCUACGCGUAGAAACUGUCAGUGCAACGAUCCGGCAAGAAACAGCGAAAAUAUCUUCUCCUCCUUCCUCCUUGGUGCUCGCGGGUUUGGGUGAGAAUGGUGAUGAAAAAUUUGAUUUUUCAUGCUAUUUAUAGAAGAUGGAAAACGCGGGAAAAUGAAAAUUUCGCGAUUCCAAUUUUUCCUGUGCAUUCCUCUAUGAAUUCUAAGAUAGGUUCUGGCGACAGAAUUCCAGAACUCGAAACAGGUUUCUUGGAAUCUACAUACACUUAAUGGGCUGUUAAAACAGCACUAUUCAUAAGAGAAAUUGCAUCUUGGCCAUUCAUUCUCUUUGAUCCUACGGUUCAUGUUUUUUCUUGAUCAGUUUUUGUUUUGAAUUUUUUUUUUCGUUGGACUCUCUCUCUUUUUGUUCUCCAGCUGUUGUUGUCGGCCCAUUACUUGUACUUGUGUGUAUUUUUUUUAUCUGUUCCAGCUGUUGUCGGCCCAGCUCCACUAUUCACCCAUCAUCUAGGUUUUGCCUUUUGCUUCUGAACGGUUCAAUCAACUGCAUUCCAGCGGCUUUGUGGCAGUGGGUAUGGGUGACGGUUGUACGAACUCGAAGUGGGUGUUUCAGCAAGAGAGAAGAAGGCAGCUUGCGUUUUCAUGAGAACUAUUCAUUCAUCAUCAACCAAAAUUGAAACGGGUUUUUGGCAGAGGGUAUGGUGAGGCUUGUACGAAAUCGGAAGGGAUGGUUCGUGAAGAGAGAUGGAGAUGCUUGGGCUCUGGCGGAAGUACUUGAUGCAGAAGCAGGGAAAGAGGGAGGGAGGUCUGUAUGCAGAGGACUGGAGGAAGCUAGAUGACAAUGUAUGCGAAGGGUGUCCAUGGUAAAUAUGGCAUUGGAGGUGUGUUGAGAAAUCACAAGGGGCAACUACUUGGCUAUUUUUCGAAAGCGGUGGGGGAAUUGUGGGCUCAUGAGGCAGAAUUACAAGCCAUACUUCAUGCUCUAUUGUUUUGCUAGCAGUUUAUAACUCUAGCACAAUUAUCAUUAAGAGUUAUUCUUCAUUAUCUGUGGGUUGAUUCGUGGCUAUGAAGGCUAUUGAAUUGUGAUAUCUUAUGUAGUGUUGUUAUGGUAGCCACUGGGUGAAGUAGCACAAAUGUGGCUGGCAAGGAACCAAUGGAUCAUCCUAAUUCUAGGUUUCAGGUUUAUCAUUCUCUUUUCAUAUUUGAAAUCUUAUUCGGUUAUUUUUUUUGGUUACAUGAAAUCUUCUUCUUUGAAUUUGUGAACCACAAACUAACAAAACAACAAGAAGAAAAAGAAGAAAAUUCCUCCAUAGAUAGAUUUAACAUGAACGCCAAAUGUUUUGACCUAUUAGUGGCUUCCAUUCCUACUUGCGACUAAUAUUAUUAGAGCUUUCUUAAGUAAGUUCAUUUUUUUUAUUAUAUCUAUGUUUCACUUUUUCUUUGAUGCCCCUAUUUUUGAAGUAGGUCAAUUGACAAACCACUAAGACAUAUAAAGAUAGUUUGAAGUCAGUUUUUAGAAGAUUAUGGAUGGAAGAGGGGUGGAAGAAAAGUAACACUGACAGAAGAUGGAAAACAAAAAUGAAAAAUGAAAAAAAGGGUGGGAGAUGGCUUAAUCCUUAACUUUCUUCUUAAUGUUUAUUUCAGUUGUAUUAGAUGUGUCCUGGUGAUUCCUCCAAACCAGAUGCUAGCAUCUCGUCUUAAUCUAUGCAGAGGUUGUAUUGCUCACUGAAAUUUCUGGCAGGGACUAUUUCCUAGAGGUAUUUUUAUUUUAAAAGUUUUUCUUUGUUCUGAUUUCUAUUUGAAAUUUAUGAAGUUUACCCAUGAUGAGCUAGGAUCCACUUUCUUUCAGUUUUUGUUUUAUUCUAAGUUGGGGAAUUGAUUUUGGUUUCACAAUUUUUUUAAGUGAUGUGUGCUUGGGUAGUGCGUGUCUGCUUGAUUUAUAUUGAACCCCUUAUUUUUGUAAAUAUAAUGUUGAUUAACUUUUACAAAUGGUUGGAUUAGUAUAGGUGAAUACAGGGAGGGAACUGUUAUGGACCACAUUUACUAUUCUUUUCAAGUUCCCUAUUGAUUCCUUCAUAAUUUUGGUGUGUAUUUGAAUGAAAAAGUUUUGUUCCCUGAAUUGAAGAAGGCAUGAGACAUUUUACCUUCGACACCACAACUUUUAAUAUUAGCUAACUGGACAAUUAUGGAAUCAAAUUAUAAUGUAGUGACCUGGAAUGUAAGAUUAUUAGCGACAUAUAGCUUCAAAUAUCCACAGAAUCUAAAUGAUUCACUUCCCACAUAAAAUCUAAAUUAUCUUCUUCUUUCGUAGUUUUAAUUUCAUUUUGAUUCUUUGUUUGAUUGAAUGGAUUUUGGUUCUUUCUCGGAGAUUCAAUGUGACCUCGGAUCAUUGAUUUUCGAAAUGGGAUUGGUUUGGUGUGUCUAUGACAGUGGUUUGAUGUGUAAAUGACUCUUUUGUGGUGCAUAUGCCAGUUGUGGAUGUGGUCCUGUUUUGACUUCCAUGAACCUUCCUCUUCUUCUAUAUAAGCCAAAUUUUGAUAUUCUGCACUCUCUUAUCAUGUUCUCAAUCAAUCUUAUAUAUGCCAAGUUUCAUAAUAAUUAUCUUUUUGUAUGAAGACAGUGGUUAAAUAGUUAUUUUCAAUGUAUAUCCACUCUUCUUGCAAGAAGACAAAGGUUUGGUGUGUGUAUAAGACUCUUUGUGGUGCUUGAUAGAGGGUAUCUAUUUAUCAAAUUGGAGCUGUAGGGUGCUCACCAGUUCUUAGUCGAUUCAGUUUCCCUGUUUAUUUUUUGUUUUCUCUGCAUUGUCCUGUCUUUCUAAGUCAAGUACGUGUGAGAGGUACAUGUAUUUCACAGAAAAAACACAGUCCCAAGAUUGAUUUCCAUGUCCAAUUAAUGGUCCUCUAAUUGGGCUUGUGCUGUGUUAAUCCUAUUAGGAGCAUGUGUUGUGGUAGAGAUACUUGGAAACAGUCUGAUGCCUAUCUGGAAGGUUGAAUGUAGGCUAAACUAGCAACAGUCUGAUACCUAUUUAAUUCUAACAUUAAAGAAGUUGAUGCAUAUAGUUAAAAAUGUAAUCGUCUUUACCGCCUUUCUCAAUCUAUUUACCUUUUUUGAUCAAAGAGGUUGUAACUAAAAAAUCAAGGCCAUAGCACCAUUCCUGUUUUCUUUUAUUUGUGUUACAUAUUUCCUAGCAAAUCUUGCUUUCAUAGUUAGGAUGCAUUUUAAGGCCAUAGCAAAUCUCUACUAUUUAAUUCUUUCUAUUUUCUCUUUGAUCAUGCAUGCAUUGUAAUUUUAAAAUUAGGAUGAAAUUGAAGUGGUUUUAGUUAUAAUCUGACUAUUUGAGUUAGUUGCAGUAUUAAGGACUAAUGUUGUUUCAAUUCAAAGAAUUGACAAAUUGAUGUGUGUUUAGGUUGGGACAAAAUCUAUAUGAUCAGACACCAUGUGGACAUGCAUUUCAUGGGUCCUGUAUCCGAACAUGUUAGGCUGUUAGUCUCAUAAUGUUAUAGUAGUAAGCAAAAUGAAGUUUUUUCUAUUGAUAUAUACUAACAAUGGGUGAAAAUUGAUCAGCAGGUACCUUCUGAGUCAUCUUUAUUUUCUUAUUUAUAUGAGGAGCAAACAGAAAUGGCAUCAGCACAAUAGAGAAUGGGUCAUGCAUCCUAACAUGUUAGGAUGUUAGUCUCAUAAUGUUAUAGUAGUAAGCAAAAUGAAGUUUUUCUAUUGAUAUAUACUAACAAUGGGUGAAAAUUGAUCUGUCGGAGCUGAGAAAUCUCAGUUCCUUUCUCAUUUUCUUAUAUUCCUUAUUUUGCUUUCAUCUUCUGUAAGUAAUUUUAAAAACGAACACGUACUAAGGUAUCAAUGGUUAUUGAUUUAUGUUUUUUUAUUGAUAGUACAAACUCUGCCAAUUGUUUAUCAUAAAAGCUUGCCCUUAGUGUUGGUUGUUGUGGAACACUGUCAAGUCUUUUCAUGAUCUUAAAAGAGUUUCAAAUAUUCAUGGAUGUUAAUUAAUUACUUAUUUACUUGAUUUGUUUAAUGUUCAUACCAUUAUGCGUUAAUCAUGUAUUUUUUAUGAGCUUCUUCUAAGAUAACUUCUGAUGAUGACACCGCUUUAAGUGGGUGGAGUUAUAUUAGGUGCGGGUUACAAGUUGUGUGGACACCAGCACAAUUUCAGAAUGAUUUUUCUUCAAGUGGUAGAAUACCAAAUCUCUAUAUCCUUAAGUGUUUCUUUCAUUGGAAGCUAACUUUUGGCUCUAGAUGGCUCUAGAUGGUGCUUAUUGGGAUUAUGGUCAUGUUGGGUAAAUGAUCAUGGCAUCACCACAUAUACCACGCGCUUCAUGAUUUCCUUUAAAAUAAUUUACACCUACUUGCUUAAUCAUUAUGAAGGUUUUCCCCUUUUUUCUGUCUUUUACCUUUAUUCUUUUGGCUCUGAUAUGUAUGGUUGUGCUUGAUCAUGUGCUAACUUUGACUAACACCUUGGAAGUAUUGUUUUUUUAUAAAGGUUUUACACUUUCACUUCUUCUAUGUCCUUUUUGAUAUUUUAACUGGAACCAUAACCGCAUCCUUUUCUUUCCCAAAGGAUUUUAUUGUUGUUGGCAUUGCUAGAAGUAGAACUUUUCCCAAAGAUUUUCCUCAGGAUAUUGAAUAUGACAACUGUCUUGCACUCCAACUUGAGUGGUCAAGUUUGAAUUUGGGCACACCUGCUUCAAGCAUUCAACCAACUAAAUUGAAGCUUUCUCUACCAUUAAGGAAAGAGUCAUAUUUGUUUCUUAUUGUUGACUACUAUUUUCCCCUAAUGAGCUAGCUAUAUGUCAGUGUUGUUAUUGAGGUUUCCAUAACCCUGCUUCUUCUGUCAUGUGUAUUCUUUUUGUUAUGCUCCUGUGCCUAUGUUAGUUGCUUCUCAUAUUAAUUCUAAAUUUGGUUUUUGUUUAGUUUGUGAAUUAUUAUUUGUUGGCUCACUGCAUCUCCUUUUGCGUUCCUUUCUGUUUUUGUUUCUAUUUUGGUUUCAUUACAGAUAAUUGUUGAGUUAAUUUUCUUUAUAUGACCAAUUUUGGUGCUUAAAUUUGUAGGAUAUUUCUUGCUGCUUCAGGUAUAAGAUAUUGACACUUGCUCAUGUAAUUUUAUCUUCGAAUCUUUACUAUAUAUUAUCUCAUCAUGUUUCCACUACUAUAAACCUUUUGAAUUUGUUUAGUUUUCCUCCAUAGUAUAUAUACCUAUAUCUCGUGUGUAGAAUGAAUAAGUGAAUAUAUGGGGAUGGGACGAGAAGCACGGUAAUGAAUUCAUAGGUGGUUUGGCUAAGGUCUCGGUGCUGCCAUGGUUACCUCAAAUGCUGGAAGGGCACUUCUUGAAGCACAUGAUCAAGGGAACUAUGAAGUGAUUGGAGAGGGAGAUCGAGGAGGAUAUCAAGAAGAUGCUUCUGAUUAAUUAUGUUUUGGAGUUCAUAUAGCUCUACUAAAGAUUCAGAUACAUACUUUCUCAGAGAACUGAUGGGUUGCAGCCCUGUGAAUUGAUAGAAUUGAAGCCUGAAAAGUUAUAUCCAAUAUGUGAUUAGGGAGGAGUGUAAGAAGGCUUUUGACGUGGACGAACGAGGAGAAAACUGUUGUAUAUGAUGACCAAUGUCAAAGCAAUAUAUCAAGACCGAAGUCACAAUUGUGGGUUGCAACUUGCAACUGCUAAAUAACCAGCUACUUUGUUAAAGUGGCGUUGAACAUUAUGGAACAUUAAAAAUUCAAUGUAAUAUCUUUUUA